rnacentral:rRNA from 1 species
GUGUGUGGUCACAUAACCCUAUCACUGCUCUCAGAAGCUAAGCAGGGUCAAACCUGGUUGGUACUUGGAUGGCAGACUGCCUGAGAAUAUCGGGCACUGUAGGCU